UUGACCUCAAAUCAGGUAGGAUUACCCGCUGAACUUAAGCAUAUCAAUAAGCGGAGGAAAAGAAACUAACAAGGAUUCCCCUAGUAACUGCGAGUGAAGCGGGAAAAGCUCAAAUUUGAAAUCUGGCAGUUUUCAACUGUCCGAAUUGUAAUCUAGAGAAGUGUUACCUGUGCGGGACCAUGUACAAGUCUUCUGGAAUGAAGCAUCAUAGAGGGUGAGAAUCCCGUCUUUGACAUGGACUACCUGUACAYUGUGGUAUGCUCUCAAAGAGUCGAGUUGUUUGGGAAUGCAGCUCAAAAUGGGUGGUAAAUGCCAUCUAAAGCUAAAUAUUGGCGAGAGACCGAUAGCGAACAAGUACCGUGAGGGAAAGAUGAAAAGAACUUUGGAAAGAGAGUUAAACAGUACGUGAAAUUGCUGAAAGGGAAACGCUUGAAGUCAGUCACAUUGGCUAGAAAUCAGCCUUGCUUCUGCUUGGUGUACUUUCUGGUUGAUGGGUCAGCAUCAAUUUUGACCACUGGAUAAAGUCUCUGGGAAUGUGGCAUCUUUUUUGGAUGUGUUAUAGCCCAUUGUCGCAUGCAGUGGUUGGGAUUGAGGAACUCAGCACGCCCUGCAAGGGGCCAGGUUUCUACCAUGUUCGUGCUUAGGAUGCUGGCAUAAUGGCUUUAAUCGACCCGUC
rnacentral:rRNA from 1 species